CCUACGGGCGGCAGCAGUGAGGAAUAUUGGUCAAUGGAGGCAACUCUGAACCAGCCAAGUAGCGUGCAGGAUGACGGCUCUAUGGGUUGUAAACUGCUUUUAUGCGGGGAUAAACUGAGUCUCGUGUGGCUUAUUGCAGGUACCGCAUGAAUAAGGACCGGCUAAUUCCGUGCCAGCAGCCGCGGUAAUACGGAAGGUCCGGGCGUUAUCCGGAUUUAUUGGGUUUAAAGGGAGCGCAGGCCGCCCCUUAAGCGUGAUGUGAAAUGCCGCGGCUCAACCGUGGGACGGCAGCGCGAACUGGGGGGCUUGAGGGCGGCGGAGGUAAGCGGAAGUCGUGGUGUAGCGGUGAAAUGCGUAGAUAUCACGAGGAACACCAGUGGCGAAGGCAGCCUACCGUAGCGUUACUGACGCUGAGGCUCGAAGGUGCGGGGAUCGAACAGGAUUAGAUACCCCAGUAGUC
rnacentral:rRNA from 1 species